CAUCACAAUUAGCUGCAGCAGGGUUCUUCUAUGCUGGCUACAGGGACUGUGUCCGCUGCUUCCAAUGCGGGUUGGGUCUGCGGUCCUGGAAACCUGGAGAUGACGCAACAGAAGUGCACCAAAAAUACAGACCGUCAUGUUCUUUUCUUAAGACAUACCUAGAGAGCAGCACUGCUAGCAGACGACAGGACGAAAUAUCGAUAAGUCACGGCAAUGAAAAUCAGAGCUUAUCAUCUGAAAAUUCUCCAAGAAGUGAUUCUUCUUGUCCAAGAAAACAUCUGGAACGUUUGAUCAGUAGCAUCCAGGUGCCUCAGUCUACAGGGUCAUGCAAUGAAAUAUCCCAAGCCGAGAGUAGCAUUACCGAGUCAUAUCAAGACAGCUCGAAUUCAACAAAUGUAGACGCAGUAAGUACCAGUGAACAAGAGGAGACAACUCUGGAAAUUCCACAAGUUCAAAAUAUAAAUUUGUCUUCUCCCCUUGGAGCUGAAAAUAAUACUCCAGCACUCUCAGUAUCAAGUCGAGCUGAUGGUGAGUUUAAAAAUGAAAA
rnacentral:sRNA from 1 species